ensembl:lncRNA
GGCAAAUUGAGCACAUUCUGCCUGGUGGCAGAAGCAGCAGACAUGAAUGCCCCAAUUGCAUUCUUGCCCAUAAUAAAGAAACUGCUGGAGCUUACUGCAGUGAUCAUGAGGUUUAACUGGUCCCUUACUGCAUUUAACUCACAUGGCUGGGUUGUAAUGAACAUAUUAGAAUGUAAAAAACCCAGCCCUUUCCUUCAAAUAAAACCCAGGCACAGAAAACAUCCCUUGUUUUUUACAAUGAGCCAUUGCACUUGGGAUUCUUUAACAUUCAAAAUUUAACAGGUGGGACUCCUUCUCUCUUCCUUAUGUAUUUUUCAACUUAUGAGGAACAAGUCUUUUAACUCUUUAUGUGUGUUUAUUAAUCAUUUUGGGGUCUCUCUGUUGCAGGGCACACUUUGCUCAUUUCUGGUUUCCUACAGCUGGUGCUGUCAGCCCUUGGAGAGCAGCUGAGGGCUCAGGGUGCUGCUCUCUUGUUGAGGGUGAUGCCUUGUUUGCUCAGAGCUGACAUGUGCUCAGUCCGUGGUGUUUCUGUGUGCGAGUGAUUCAGCCCUGGUUGUGAACAAGUGAUGGAGUUAGUUCUUGUCAAGGCAUGGGGAAGAUGAAUGUGUUUUUCAAGAGCUGGCCCACGACUUGAAAAAUCUGGAUGCACUUCAGGGCUUUGCUGCCAACCUGCUGCAUGACCUUUGGUCCCAACCCCAUGCGUCCCACUGGUCUGGAAUAACAUUUGGAGUCUGGCAGUCUGGUCCCUUUUGUAGCUCCAGAGGAUUUUUGGAGCAUGGGGAGCAUGGGAUGCAUGGAUGUACGGACCCACAAAACCCUCUGGAGAAUGCUGGCUGUGGAAAAAAGCAUCUGGAAGUUUCUACCAUCUUUUUACCCUGUUUUUUCCUGGCUCACCCUGUGUCAUUUGUGGCCCUGUCCUGAGGAUUAUAGCAUGCAGUCACUUACUGGAAUACCUCCCCAUGCAUCUUCUUGAAACGGAGCCAUUGCUUUACCCAGCUGGAAGAUAUUUUCUCUUCUCCCAGGGCUUUUCCAGUGCAGCAGCACUCCUGUCCAGCAGGAUGCUGCUGCUGCGUCACUUGCAUUCUUCACCCCGACCCAGCAGUAACUCUUUCCAGACUACCAGGAGCAGUCCAGGCACUUAUUUCCUGCUCCAUUCCCUCUCCAAGAGCUUUGUGCAUAGGGCGAGUGCAUCCCCUCUCCCUCAGCAGAGGAGCUGCUGCCAGCUCAGACAGAGGUCUCGGUUGACUGCAGAAAGGAGAAGGGAGGAGCAUGUCAAAGGGAGGUCAGAUCCUGCCAGGGUUUCCUGGGAAAUGAGGUGUUUGGAUGAUGAAACUUGA